CUAUCUGAUUCUUUUUUCAGGUCAAGUUCAAUGUUGAUGCAAUUGAUCAGACUGAUCUCCUUGAAGAGACACUGAAGCCUCGAGUGGAAUCUAUUGGUGCAAAACUACAGAAAAUAAUAUUGAAUGGAGCUCAUAUUACACCUUGCAUACAGGAACCUAGAUGGCAAAUGGGAGAUAUAUACUCGCCUGUAGAUGCUGUUGCUCAAGGCCUUAAGACAAUUUCUUUGAAUGACACUAGAGUCCUCACAAGAACAAUUACAGACUGGUUUAGUCAACUUGAAGGAUAGACACACAUGAAUCAGACCCAUGAUGCGGCAAUAUCUGAAUCGUGUGAAUCCUUCCUGGUAUUGGGUUGACCUUCUUCCCUUUGAGUUGUUUGCAUAGAAUUUUUCUCGGAAAGUUUUGCAUGGAAAAACAUCCUAUGUUUGCAUAGAACUUUCUAGGAAUUUGCAGGGAAAAGCAUCCUAUGAUGCAUAGGAUGCAAGGAAUUUGGUUAGAUAUGAUAUAAAUACGUAAUUUUGAUAGUUGUAGGCAUCAUUACAAGUUACAUGACUUGUGAAAUAUAAAUCUCAGACACUUUCUCUCUAGAGUUCUGCACACACUCACACAGCAACAUUUAGCUUACUUUUGGUAAUUGAUACCAGCAAUCAUUUGCUUUC